rnacentral:rRNA from 1 species
UGCCCAGACUCCUACGGGAGGCAGCAGUGGGGAAUAUUGCACAAUGGGGGAAACCCUGAUGCAGCGACGCCGCGUGAGUGAAGAAGUAUUUCGGUAUGUAAAGCUCUAUCAGCAGGAACGAGACAAGACGGUACCUGACUAAGAAGCCCCGGCUAACUACGUGCCAGCAGCCGCGGUAAUACGUAGGGGGCAAGCGUUAUCCGGAUUUACUGGGUGUAAAGGGAGCGUAGACGGUGCAGCAAGUCUGAUGUGAAAGGUCGGGGCCCAACCCCGGAACUGCUUUGGAAACUGUGCAGCUAGAGUGCAGGAGAGGUAAGUGGAAUUCCUAGUGUAGCGGUGAAAUGCGUAGAUAUUAGGAGGAACACCAGUGGCGAAGGCGGCUUACUGGACUGUAACUGACGUUGAGGCUCGAAAGCGUGGGGAGCAAACAGGAUUAGAUCCCCCCGUA